rnacentral:rRNA from 1 species
AUUGAACGCUGGCGGCAGGCCUAACACAUGCAAGUCGAACGCGUGGCGGACGGGUGAGUAAUGUCUGUGAAACUGCCCGAUGGCGGGGGAUAACUACUGGAAACGGUAUCUAAUACCGCAUACCAUCGGAUGUGCCCAGAUGGGUUUAGCUUGUAGUUGUGGUAACGUCGCACCUGGGCGACGAUCCCUAGCUGGUCUGAGAGGAUGAAAAGCCAAACUGGAACUGAGACACGGUCAAGACGCCUACGGGAGGAAGCAGUGGGGAAUAUUGCACAAGGGUCGCAAGACUGAUGCAGACAUGCCGCGGGUAUGAAGAAGGCCGUCGGGUUGUAAAGGACUUGAAGCGGGGAGGCGUUACCCGCAGAAGAAGCACAGGCUAACUCCGUGCCAGCAGCCGCGGUAAGAC